UCCGAGCGUACAUCAGGGAGCUGACUGCAAAUCUGCCGUCAUCGACUUCGAAGGUUCGACUCGAGCGUAGUGAGAGAACGUUGCCGAAGGCAACGGCCCGAAGGGUGAGUCGCGAAGCGACGAAUAAUCCUUCCUUACAACGUCA
rnacentral:sRNA from 1 species